rnacentral:misc_RNA from 1 species
GAUGAAGAACGCAGCGAAAUGCGAUAAGUAAUGUGAAUUGCAGAAUUCAGUGAAUCAUCGAAUCUUUGAACGCACCUUGCGCUCCUUGGCAUUCCGAGGAGCAUGCCUGUUUGAGUGUCAUUAAAUUCUCAAGACCUGUCUGCUUUUUUGAUAGGUAUUGGAUUUUGGGGGUUGCAGGCUGUUUCAAAUAAAUAGCCUUGCUCUCCUUGAAUGUAUUAGUGGAGAAAAGCCAUUGAACUCUAUUGGUGUGAUAAAUCCUAUCAAUGCCAGGAGCAAUAUCACUACUUCUCUCUGCUGUCUAACUGUGACUGUCUGUAUUAAUUAGUAUGGAUGGGGACAACUUGACCAACUUGACCUCAAAUCAGGUAGGACUACCCGCUGAACUUAAGCAUAUCAUAAGCGGAGGA